rnacentral:snRNA from 1 species
UCGCCAGAAGAUCAGACUCUCACGUACAUGGCCCUUGCCUUUUACCAGAGCCAUCCGGGGUCUGUCUUUGCCAAUGGCACUUUACCCAGUUUUUGGAACCCCUUCUAACCACU